rnacentral:rRNA from 1 species
GAUGAACGCUGGCGGCGUGCCUAAUACAUGCAAGUCGAGCGAAGCGGGGACGGGUGAGUAACACGUGGAUAACCUCCUAUAAGACUGGGAUAACUUCGGGAACCCGGACCUAACCCGGAUAAUUAUCGAUGGAUACGCGCUGCAUUAGCUAGUGGGUAGGGUAACGGUGUACCAAGGCAACGAUGCCUAGACGACCUGCGAGGGUGAUCAGCCACACUGGAACUGAGACACGGUCCAGACGCCUACGGGAGGCAGCAGUAGGGAAUCUUCCACAAUGGGCGAAAGCCUGACGCAGCAAUGCCGCGUGAGUGAAGAAGGUCUUCGGGUCGUAAAGCUCUUUUAGUAGGGAAGCGGUACCUAAACAGAAAGCCACGGCUAACUACGUGCCAGCAGCCGCGGUAAUUC